rnacentral:rRNA from 1 species
GACGAACGCUGGCGGCGUGCCUAAUACAUGCCAGUUGAGCGAUGAAGAUUGGUGCUUGCACCAAUUUGAAGAGCAGCGAACGGGUGAGUAACGCGUGGGGAAUCUGCCUUUGAGCGGGGGACAACAUUUGGAAACGAAUGCUAAUACCGCAUAACAACUUUAAACAUAAGUUUUAAGUUUGAAAGAUGCAAUUGCAUCACUCAAAGAUGAUCCCGCGUUGUAUUAGCUAGUUGGUGAGGUAAAGGCUCACCAAGGCGAUGAUACAUAGCCGACCUGAGAGGGUGAUCGGCCACAUUGGGACUGAGACACGGCCCAAACUACUACGGGAGGCAGCAGUAGGGAAUCUUCGGCAAUGGACGAAAGUCUGACCGAGCAACGCCGCGUGAGUGAAGAAGGUUUUCGGAUCGUAAAACUCUGUUGGUAGAGAAGAACGUUGGUGAGAGUGGAAAGCUCAUCAAGUGACGGUAACUACCCAGAAAGGGACGGCUAACUACGUG